UGGGCGAAAGCCUGAUCCAGCAAUGCCGCGUGCAGGAUGAAGGCCUUCGGGUUGUAAACUGCUUUUGUACGGAACGAAAAGCUUCGGGUUAAUACCCUGGAGCCAUGACGGUACCGUAAGAAUAAGCACCGGCUAACUACGCGCCAGCAGCCGCGGUAAUACGUAGGGUGCAAGCGUUAAUCGGAAUUACUGGGCGUAAAGCGUGCGCAGGCGGUUUUGUAAGACAGAGGUGAAAUCCCCGGGCUCAACCUGGGAACUGCCUUUGUGACUGCAAGGCUAGAGUACGGCAGAGGGGGAUGGAAUUCCGCGUGUAGCAGUGAAAUGCGUAGAUAUGCGGAGGAACACCGAUGGCGAAGGCAAUCCCCUGGGCCUGUACUGACGCUCAUGCACGAAAGCGUGGGGAGCAAACAGGAUUAGAUACCCUGGUAGUCCACGCCCUAAACGAUGUCAACUGGUUGUUGGGUCUUAACUGACUCAGUAACGAAGCUAACGCGUGAAGUUGACCGCCUGGGG
rnacentral:rRNA from 1 species